rnacentral:rRNA from 1 species
AUUGAACGCUGGCGGCAUGCCUUACACAUGCAAGUCGAACGGCAGCACGGGUGCUUGCACCUGGUGGCGAGUGGCGAACGGGUGAGUAAUACAUCGGAACGUACCUUAUCGUGGGGGAUAACGCAGCGAAAGCUGUGCUAAUACCGCAUACGCCCUGAGGGGGAAAGCGGGGGAUCGCAAGACCUCGCGCGAUUAGAGCGGCCGAUGCCUGAUUAGCUUGUUGGUGGGGUAAAAGCCCACCAAGGCGACGAUCAGUAGCUGGUCUGAGAGGACGAUCAGCCACACUGGGACUGAGACACGGCCAGACCCCUACGGGAGGCAGCAGUGGGGAAUUUUGGACAAUGGGGGCAACCCUGAUCCAGCAAUGCCGCGUGAGUGAAGAAGGCCUUCGGGUUGUAAAGCUCUUUUGUCAGGGAAGAAACACCGGCUCUAACACAGUCCGGGAAUGACGGUACCUGAAGAAUAAGCACCGGCUAACUACGUGCCAGCCGCCGUAAUAC